rnacentral:rRNA from 1 species
GACGAACGCUGGCGGCGUGCUUAACACAUGCAAGUCGAACGGAAAGGCCCUGCUUUUGUGGGGUGCUCGAGUGGCGAACGGGUGAGUAACACGCGAGUAACCUGCCCUUGUCUUUGGGAUAACUUCAGGAAACUGGGGCUAAUACCGGAUAGGAGCUCCUGCUGCAUGGUGGGGGUUGGAAAGUUUCGGCGGUUGUGGAUGGACUCGCUGCUUAUGAGCUUGUUGGUGGGGUAGUUGCUUACCAAGGCUUUGACGGGUAGCCGGCAUGAGAGGGUGACCGGCCACAUUGGGACUGAGAUACGGAGCAGUCGCCUACGGGAGGCAGCAGUGGGGAAUAUUGCGCAGUGGGCGGAAGCCUGAUGCAGCGACGCCGCGUGCGGGAUGACGGCCUUCGGGUUGUAAACCGCUUUCGCCUGUGACGAAGCGUGAGUGACGGUAAUGGGUAAGGAAGCACCGGCUAACUACGUG